rnacentral:rRNA from 1 species
UGGCGGACGGGUGAGUAAUGUCUAGGAAACUACCUGAUGGAGGGGGAUAACUACUGGAAACGGUAGCUAAUACCGCAUAACGUCGCAAGACCAAAGAGGGGGACCUUAGGGCCUCUUGCCAUCGGAUGUGCCCAGAUGGGAUUAGCUAGUAGGUGGGGUAACGGCUCACCUAGGCGACGAUCCCUAGCUGGUCUGAGAGGAUGACCAGCCACACUGGAACUGAGACACGGUCCAG